GGUAAUUGUGAUAAUUGCACAGCAGUGAAAAAUGAGAGGGAUUUGUCGAAAGAAGUCUUUUUGUUGUUGUCCUGCAUCAAAUCUUGUGGAGGACGCUGGGGCCUCAAUUUACCUAUUGAUGUUCUCCGUGGCUCACGAGCCAAGAAGAUUGUUGACAACAAUUAUGAUAAACUACAAAUGCAUGGGUGUGGUAAAGAUUAUUCGUCAAACUGGUGGAAAGCACUUGGUGGUCUUCUUAUAGCACAUGAUUAUUUGAAGGAGACUGUUCGUGAUACAUUUAGAUUUGUCAGGUGCUGUAUUGCAGUUCCUUAUGAAUUUUGUACUCAUUGUAUUUAUUCCCUUUUUGUAGCCCUUUGCUAAGCUUAGUCUUGAAGUAAACUUUGUAGAUACUUUUGUGAUGUAAUUGAUGAGACUAUGGAUGAGACUUUUGUGAUGUAAUUGAUGAGACUAUGGAUUUAAA